rnacentral:rRNA from 1 species
CACAGCUGUUGCAUGGCUGUCGUCAGCUCGUGACGUGAGUUGUUCUCUUAAGUGAGGUAACGAGCGCAACCCCGUUCUGUGUUAUUGUGUCACAGAAGACUGCCUAGCAUUAUUUUGUUAGGAGGAAGGAGGGACGACGUCAAGUCAUCAUGAUGCUUAUAUCCAGGGCUACACACAUCCUACAAUGGGCUAUAACAGAGGGUUGCAAGACCGCAAGGUGGAGCUAAUCCCUAAACUAGCCCUCAGUUGGGAUUGCAGGCUGAAACUCGCCUGCAUGAACCCGGAAUUGGUAGUAAUCGCACAUCAGCAGCGUGCGGUGAAUACGUUCUCGCCUCUU